rnacentral:rRNA from 1 species
UACGAAGGGGGCUAGCGUUGCUCGGAAUCACUGGGCGUAAAGGGUGCGUAGGCGGGUCUUUAAGUCAGAGGUGAAAUCCUGGAGCUCAACUCCAGAACUGCCUUUGAUACUGAGGAUCUUGAGUUCGGGAGAGGUGAGUGGAACUGCGAGUGUAGAGGUGAAAUUCGUAGAUAUUCGCAAGAACACCGGUGGCGAAGGCGGCCAGCUGGCGCUGACCUGACGCUGAGGCGCGAAGGCGUGGGGAGCGAACAGG